UAGCUCAGCUGGUAAAGAAUCUGCCUGCAAUGCAGGAGGCCCUGGUUUGAUUCCAGG
rnacentral:tRNA from 1 species